rnacentral:rRNA from 1 species
GGGGAAUAUUGGACAAUGGGCGCAAGCCUGAUCCAGCCAUGCCGCGUGAGUGAUGAAGGCCUUAGGGUUGUAAAGCUCUUUCAGUAGGGAGGAUAAUGACGGUACCUACAGAAGAAGCCCCGGCUAACUUCGUGCCAGCAGCCGCGGUAAUACGAAGGGGGCUAGCGUUGUUCGGAUUUACUGGGCGUAAAGCGCACGUAGGCAGUUUGUUAAGUCAGGGGUGAAAUCCCGGAGCUCAACUCCGGAACUGCCUUUGAUACUGGCAAGCUAGAGUCCGGAAGAGGUGAGUGGAACUCCUAGUGUAGAGGUGGAAUUCGUAGAUAUUAGGAAGAACACCAGUGGCGAAGGCGGCUCACUGGUCCGGUACUGACGCUGAGGUGCGAAAGCGUGGGGAGCAAA